rnacentral:rRNA from 1 species
GAUGAACGCUGGCGGCGUGCCUAAUACAUGCAAGUCGAGCGAACAGACGAGGAGCUUGCUCCUCUGACGUUAGCGGCGAACGGGUGAGUAACACGUGGAUAACCUAUCUAUAAGACUGGGAUAACUUCGGGAACCCGGAGCUAAUAUCGGAUAAUAUAUUGAACCGCAUGGUUCAAUAGUGAAAGACGGUUUUGCUGUCACUGAUAGAUGGAUCCGCGCCGCAUUAGCUAGUUGGUAAGGGAAUGGUUUACCAAGGCAACGAUGCGUAGGAGACGUCAGAGGGUGAGCGUGCACACGGAAAUUGAGACAGGGACACGGCCCAUACGCGUGCGGGAGGUAGGAGUGGGGACGAAUGGAGCAUAGGCCGAAGGCUGAAGCAGCGAGGGAGUGUGGAGGAUGUCGGGAUCGGGGUACUCUGUUCUUUGGGAAGACGAGAUAGGUACGUGGUUGUGCGCGUCUUGACGGUACCGGAACAAAAAGCACCGGCUAACUACGUG